UACGUAGGGGGCAAGCGUUAUCCGGAUUUACUGGGUGUAAAGGGUGCGUAGAUGGGAAAUUAAGUUGGAUGUGAAAUACCUAGGCUCAACUUAGGUGCUGCAACCAAAACUGAUAUUCUUGAGUGCAGGAGAGGAAAGUGGAAUUCCUAGUGUAGAGGUUAAAUUCGUAGAUAUUAGGAGGAACACCAGUGGCGAAGGCGACUUUCUGGACUGUAACUGACAUUGAGGCACGAAAGCGUGGGGAG
rnacentral:rRNA from 1 species